AUACUAUGAUGAAGGCACUUCCUUAACAACUCUUUAAAUCUCUCCCAUGCAUCAUAUAAUGAUUCCCCUUCCAUAUGGUAGAAAUUAUUAAUUUGCCCUCUCAACUU